UAAUCUAUAAUCUAAUACAAUGGGUCAUGCGAAGGAACCUACAAUCCGGUUUUAUUAUCCUUUUUUUUCAACUUUUAGUGUCACCUAUUGGUAUAUGGUUUAAGUGGGCCUAUUGAAAGAACAAUCUGAAGGCUACUUUUAUUGUAUUUAUAAUUGAUCUAUAAUUUUCUUAUACUAAUUUAUCCUCUCUUUUUUUGUCGACUUUCGGACCACAACGGACCGGCCCGAUAGCCCAAAUCCCCACAGAAGGGAAAGCCUCACUUUAGGAGGGGUUGAACCCCUGAUGCCAAGGUCCAGAGGAACUGUCAAUGGCCA
rnacentral:lncRNA from 1 species